rnacentral:lncRNA from 1 species
CGUCUGAAAAAAAAAAAAAGAAAGAAAAGAAAAGAAACAGCCCUUGGCUUGCAAGCUGUUCAUUUUUCUGAAGGAGGAAAUUGAAGGGUGAAAUCAGCCUUUCUAAGAAUCUGAUUCAUCUCAUUAUUGCCAGCAUUAUUAGAUGUUAGAUAAAAAACAGUUAAUUUCAACCUUUUCUACCUGGCACGUUAUCUGAACUAAAAAGAAAGAGAAGCAGCAGCCCUUCAAAAAUAGAUUUAUCUUUAUUUCUUUAUGGCUUCCCAAAAAGUCUCUUUUAUCUGUGGAAGCUGGAGUAAGAAUAAACCCCAUAAGACACAUUAUGAGAGACUGAGGUGAUUUCUGUUGGCAGCACCCACACCCUGGGUUGGGGUCCCUCAGGCCUCACCCUAACCAGGAGACAACCUGAGAACCCAGGGCACUGCGUCCACGUGUGACCGUGGACAUCAGGAGAGCACCGGCUCUUCACUGAUUACAGCUUUGCGUUUCCCCACGGGGGCCACUGAACUUUAAUCACGUUUUCAAUAAAACCAGAUAAAGUAGUCAGGAAGGUCAUGCGGGUCAUAUGUUUCCCCACUGGCUCUCUCUACGAUUUCACUGUCUUCUGAUCCCAUCUUAUAUGAGACACAUUUAAUACCAAGAGUGAAAGGGGCCCUGGGUGUGUUUCUCGGUGUCCACUCAGCCCUCUGCCCCUUUGUGAGCAUCAGGUUUAUACGUUUUUAUGAAAUGGUGGGAGACAGGCUCUCCCUUGAUGCAGUCCCUGUAGCUAUAAAAAUAUGGACAAUGCAGAUAAUUCUGUUAAAUUAAGAUACCAAUUCGUCUAUUAAAUCAAUUGCUUCCAGCCACAGCCCUUGUUAUUCAAAUCAAGACAAAAAAAAGUCUGUGGAGUGUGAGGAGGCAGCUGAACCUGUCUCUUCCAGAAGCUCCUCUGGGGAUGAGAGAUGGGCAGGAAGCAGCGUGUGUUUGUGACGGAGAAACGUGAAUUCCAUGUGAAAGGGAGUAUGUUUUCUAACUUGGGGUUGGAGUUGGCUGUCGGGAAGCUGGUUCUGAGAUGGUGGUGUCGGUGCUGGAGGUGCCACCCCUCGGGAGGCUGUCUGGGUUCUAAGGUGGCAGCACAAAUUUACAGUUCUAGAACUGUAUUUCUAUCUGAAAGGGUUUAACAGUCAGAUGCUCUUUUUUUCCUCAGAAAUCCUCCUCUAUCUUUGCUACUUUACAAUAUUCUGGGGUUUUGUACAUUUCCUGGCAACAAUUUGACCCUUCCAUCUCAAAGCUGGUUUAAAGGAGCGUUCACCAUCGGUUGGCAUGAAGUGAGACCGAGCUGUCAGCUUUUCAUAAAAGUUCUCCCAGCACAGAAUCGGCUGACUCCUAAACUAAAUAUUUCUGCGUUUAUAUAUUGCUUUCCUGUUAUGUUUGGAUACUGGAAGACUUUUUUCUCUUACGAAAAAGCAGCAGGCACUCAUUGAGCCAUGAGGGUUGCCAGGGUGCUGUGGGUAAGUGACCAAAGACAGAAAUCAGACGGUCACAGACAACACAGCUUCUGUCCAACCCAGUUACCCUCCAGCAGCAGGUCUCAUUCUCCUUGGUCUCAGACCCCUUUACACUUAAAAGUUAUUGCAGAUUACAGGUCUACCAGAAAAAUUUUAAAAUAUGUAUUUAUUCAUUUCAAAAUAUCAGUACAGCAACUACAUGUUAAUGUUGUUUUUGCAAAAAGACUCUAUGUUUUCCAAAAAAAAAAUUAAAAGAGCAGCAUUCUUUUACACUUUUGCAAAUCUGCAUAAUAUCUGAAUCCCAUGAAAGAGGGCUGGGCCACAUGCAGACUCCUGCAGUCAGGCCACGGCAAUGUGUUGUUCUGCUGUUGAAGUCAAAAAGAAAAGUCAGGGAGGUCCUUGUUAGUCGCCUUUUCAGGCAACUGCGGACUCUUCCUUGAUACCACAUCAAAACUCAACAAGCCGUCAUCCUCUAAAGACCACGGUGUAGAAUCUGAAGCCGGUCGGUGACCGCGUGCCUGCUGCUGUAUCACAACACGUUGGUCUGUCCUGCACUUUGAAUGAAUCUUUUUCCUGUGAACAUCAUGUUUGGGUCAUGUGGAAAAUACUGGUUCACUGAGUUACGGAGAUUUUCCAAAUGCUGACACAGUUCAACAGAUGGUAUUUUUAAAAUCACGUGUACAACGUACAGGGCCUCGUACGUUGCAGACCGGUUGUGUCCACAAGCGUGCUGCCUGUGCCGGAUGCCAGGGCCCAAAGAUGAGUCUACCUGGGCCUGCCCACCAGAAGCUCAUUCUUGGGCAGGGCAGACAGUAAGACGGGCGACCCAUGUGGGCGAGGUGACAGCACGGACUCAGGUAACCGGAAAAAAGAAGACGGUGGCGUGCGCUGUGAGCCGGGUGGGCGGGAUCCGCGCGUGCGCUGUGAGCCGGGUGGGCGGGAUCCGCGCGUGCGCUGUGAGCCGGGUGGGCGGGAUCCGCACGUGCGCUGUGAGCCGGGUGGGCGGGAUCCGCGCGUGCGCUGUGAACCGGGUGGGCGGGAUCCGCGCGUGCGCUGUGAGCAGGGUGGGCAGGAUCCGCACGUGCGUGUGCUAUUGAGGACCUGCGUCCAGUGUGCGGGAGGCGGAGAUGAACCCACAGAGCAGGGCGCCUGCCCUUGAGGACCUGCGUCCAGUGUGCGGGAGGCGGAGGUGAACCCACAGAGCAGGGCGCCUGCCCUUGAGGACCUGCGUCCAGUGUGCGGGAGGCGGAGGUGAACCCACAG